rnacentral:tRNA from 1 species
GGCCUCGUAGCUCAGUUGGCUAGAGCGUUGGCUGUACUAAAGCCUUCCCCUUGCUGGCGUGGGUUCGAAUCAAACUGAGGCCG